rnacentral:lncRNA from 1 species
UGACUAAUAUAGUCUGGGAGUGAACUAGAAAUGCAUUUGGAAGUUUCUACCAUAUGACAGGAGGAAAGGUCAGGUGAAAAGAAAUAACAAGGCCAUGUUUUCUCUAAAAAUUAAAAUGGGAUGAAUGGCUUGCAUUAACAUUUUUCAGUUUACACUUUAAAUAACUUUAUGAAUAUGUAAGUGAUUUAAAAUUGAAUGAAUUUUCUUUUGAUAAAAAAUGUUUCUUCUUAGCCUAGAUAUUCAAGUAACACUGGAAGCAUCUAUCAAUGAAGAUAUAGAAACAGAAUCUUGACUGGGGCAGGAAGUUGAACAUGAUGAUUACCAAGAUCUCUUACAAUCUAACACACCUCUAAUAUCUAAAAUUUGAACUCUUGCCUGGUUACAGAUAUGAAGUUUUCAUAUACGUUUGUUCUAUAUGAUACCUCCAAAAAAAUUAAGGAGUGCCAGCUCCAAGGGAGAUGAGGGAGUCCUGUGGGUGAUCAUGUUGACAGAAGGACUAACAGACCUGGCAGAGGUGAAAGCAGUGGUGAGAGGAAUUAGCACGCAAUGA